AGAGAGGUAGAGUGGCACAGACUGUAAUUACAAACAAAAUGAAAAUUAUUUAGUUAUAAAACAAUCAUGAACUAAUUAAAUUGGAUAAAAAAAAAUGUCUCUCUCGAUGACCACAUGUUCUUGUCUUGUCAAGGUUUCUAGGGUUAAAAUCAAUCUUUGUUUUCAAUUAACUCGAAAAUCAAACAAAGAAAAACGAGGCAAAUAUUUCUUUUCACAUUUAACAAGCUAUUAUUAGGUAGCCAAUUUUCUAUUCAACGCCGUAGCAUCGCAAGUAGUAAACUUUUAGCUGAAUAAGAAAGAUGCCAGAGAAGUCACAAAGAAAAUAUGGCUGAAAUUUAUUAUUAUUAUUUUUUUUUAAGUGAAAAAAGAACAGAAGAUAGUUUCUAAAGCAAAUCAAGUAACUCCGGUCGGCCAAGCAAUUAGAGAAUCAAGUGUAAAAUCAACUGAAUUUAACUUUUUCAUAAAUGAGAAACGCUAUCAGGAAGCAUUUCUUCUGACUUGAUAAAACAUCAAUGCUUUUUUGGCACACAUUCAGGAUCCCUUGAGCUAAUCAAACAAGAAUUUAUGCUAUCUUCCAGAAGUAAGAUGAAUAAAUGAGGUGCUAAUGCAGCUUUAUGUUGAUAAAAGAAGAGUGAGUUAAGUUUUUCAUUUUUUUUUAAAAAGGUUUUGUAUGGCCCACAAAAAGGCCCCUUUCAUAAACACUCUUGAUGAACUUGCACAGAUCAACACCAAUCUCGUCUUCAUAUUAACAUUGACCAUUCUCCUAUUUUAAACUGAUUGCUUUGAGUUUGCUAAAAUAAUCAAGUGAAUCACACCAUUUCAUGAAUAUCUUGCCUGGAACUACUAAACUUGUACUGCUGCUUAAGAAGGCAAGGCCUGGCAAAGGAGAUGACAUGAAACGUUAAACAUUAAUCUGCCACCCCCAAACCCUCCUAAUUAGUACCCUCAUCCCAAACAAAGGCAUGGUUACCAACCUUGUAAAACAUUGGUUUACCUUCAAAAACCUCCAUCCAAACAUAGUGUGAAAAAGUAUACAUUCUUGUAUAGACAAACAUAGACUUUCUUCUAUAUUGGUGCCACUUGGAAUAUGAUAUCAUAAUUUUGAAAACUCAAAAGACAAAACAAAUCCUAUUUGAUCUAAAGAUAGAAAAUUAAUUUGAUGGAAUAUAAGCUCAAGCCAAAAUGCUAAUUUCAAAGUUCAAGCUUUCAAGUAGGCCUCUAUUAUUUUCUUGGAAACUCAAAUAUGUCCCAAGUUCUAUUUUACUGAUGAAUAGGCAACUAAAAUUUACAAGCAAGCAUAGUUUACCAUUUAUGACACUAGAUAAUUGGCCACUUUGUUGGUUGGACUUGAGCAUGAGUGCCAAAAUAUACCUGCAUAUACAAGGUUCAAACUAGGCUAUCUUCUGUAUUUUCCAUUAAUUUGAAGUUUGUGAGCAUCAUACCCAUAUCCAAGUGUCCUUACUCAACAAGAAUAUAUUAGAAUAAGGUACAAAUGGCAACCUAGAAAGCUAGAGAAGAAGCAUUUAAUUUAAAAUAGCAUAAUAUAUAGCCCGAUAUCCCUUACACCAAAAAUUGCUGUAAGCAUAAAAGAGAUAAAAAUCGCUAAUAUUGAUACCAAACUAUGGCUCACUAUAGCAGUUUUUCCUUUUUCACAUUUUUUUGAUACAUUGAAGGUGUAACUUCAUUAAUAAGCAUAUUAUUUAAAAAAAAAAUUCAAAAAAAAUAAGAGGAGGUUGCUUACCUUAUAAAAGAAGGAACUUCCCCUGUUUAAAAAAAAAUUAUAGAAAACAAGGAACCUGACUCCCACACAAUAUUGUCCUUUGCCUAUAAAAAGGUGCCAACUUUCUGUCUAACCUCAUUGGCAAGUGGGCCAAUUUAUAGGUUAAACAUGUUUAAUAGAUGGUGUGCUAAGUUCAAAAUCUUCAAGUGUAAUGAAUAUGUGAGGUAAUAUUCUUAGUUUGUGAAUUCACCACACUUUCACUCUAGAGUAGAUUGGUUUACGGAGUUCAUCAUUCACAAUAGUUCAUUACCCAAUUAGACAAAUCAUACCUUAGGUCAAAACCACAUCAGCCAUCCUGUGAAAGCUAUACAUGAAUCAAGCACGUCUAUAAGAAGGUAAACAAGUAACUAGGGUUUAGAUAGAUAAGUGUUGGUCAAUAUGGUACGUCUGCAUAGAAUGAAGAGAAACAUUAAAGCCCUAUAAGCAAUAUUUUAUUACAGAAUUAAGGUUAAAUAUGGUCCAAAACAAGAGGAAGGUUAGCAUAUGCUACCUCUGUCCUAUUUCAAGUGAUAUUUUAAAAUUUUUUCUCACUUUAUUUGCCUUUUUAGAAAAUUAAGCAUUAUUUUUUUUUCCAAAUUUACACUUGUCUGUUGUUAUUCCCAAUGCAUUUAUCUCUUUCUUGUCAUCUUUCUCUAUCUUAAUUAAAUACAACGGUACUCAAGUCAAUUAUUAGUAUUAUCUUAUAAAAAUGAACUACCUUAAAAAGCAUUUGAAGUGGGACAGAGGGAGUACUAUAUGGUGAGGAUUCAGAUAUCCAUGCCAUACAAUUUGACACAAAGCAUAUAUGAUGCAAGUCAUGGAGAUCCACUUGAAUAAAAGGGAAAACAAGAUUCAGCUCCAAGAAAAAUGGCUAAUAGCCAAAAUGUUCAAGUAGUGACCUAAGAGUAACAAUGGCCAAAUGGGGGGAAAAUCCUUAUGUUGAGGGAGUUCAAUAAAAUUCAAAUUCAAAUGAUCAAGAAGCAUAGGAUUAUGUUCGAUCAUAAUGUAGGGUUUAUUGGGGAAAUUAAAAUAUCUCCUAAUUGAGGUAAAAUCCUGCAUCAAUAUAUAGGCACAGGAACAGUGACGAGCGCAAAAAUUUCACUUAGGAGGUUCAAUUAAAACAUGUGAUUUGUUAAUCACUUGCUUAGGUGAUGAUUGAACAAGUUGAUUGACGACGAUAAUAAUUCUACAGUGAUUAAUGGAUAAAAUCAUUCCAUAACUAUAAGACAAAAACAUUCAAUGACUAGAGUGACAAAAAUAAACACUUUAAGUUUUUGAAUAAAAUUGACUUGUUAAAAAUUAAAUGAAAUUGCUAUUAAUUUAAAAAUACAUGAAUGUUUAAUAUUAUGAAUUACUAAACUUAAAAUAUAUUGAUGGUCUAAAAUUAAAAAACUUGUCUAAUUUAUUUCAAAUCUAUUAUUUUUUCAGAACAAUCAUUAAAGCAAAUUCAAUUAAAAUUAUAGAUUAAAUAAAAUAAACGAUGUGAAAUAAAUUUUUUUUUUCUAACUUGAGUAUGAAGAAAUUUUCAACACGGGGAGAAUCUAACAAUAACAAUGAGACUAUGUAAAGAAAACCACUAAAAUUUUAAAUUCAUGAAAAAAUGAUGAGAGACCUAAGUUAGACUUCCAUUUAAUAAUCUUGUCCAAUAAUUUAAAUUUCAAUGAAUAAAGUUGAUAAUUGUGGAUUUGUUAACAGAGAAAAAUGAUAAAAUAGAAUUGAUGGAGAAGAAAAAACCAAGAGGUAAUAACGGUUUGGAUUUAUCUUUUUUUGGCAAAAGAGCUUGUCUUUCACUAUUGAUGUCAUUUUUUAAUAAAGAAUUUAGAGCUUUUUUUUAUAUAAAAUUAUUAAUAAACCCCUAAAAGCUUUUAAAAUACUCGAGAAAUCCGAUGCCCCAUCAAAAUUUGAUAGUAGUCAAAAAUAUUUUUUUUGGAGUAACUAUCAUCGUAACCCUAAAAAAUUUUAAAAUUUCAGAGGGGCUCAGUGCCCCCCUUGACCCCUAUGUGCAUCCAUCCCUAUGCAGGAAACUUAACCUUUGUUUGGGGGGAGAAUUUUUAAAGUAAUGAGAGGUUUUUCAAGAUUUAAAAACCUUCAACUUGUAUUUGGGAGAAUAUGUGGUUUUAUAAAGUAAGGUUUUUGGAAGUUUUUGAAAAUCCCCAUUUUCCAACCACAAAAUUGUAAAUUAAGAAGGUUUUCUCUUUUAAAUCUUUAAAUACCUUAAAAAACUUUAUCUUCUUCUCAAACACGAAAAAAUUAUGAAAAUUUAAAAAACAUGAAAAACAUCACUUUAAAAACUUAGAAAAAAAAUAGUUUGCUCUUACCUCGUCCCAAACACUGUGUUAAAAUCCAAACGGCAACAAGCUAUUAAAAAGUGUUAUCAUUUGCAACAAAUCUUAGUUGAACAAAGCUAAUGCUUUAUCUUGAAAUUCAAAUGGCAUAAGGAAUGAUGCAAAUCAAUUCCUUCACAUGUAACAUGAAGAUUACUUUACAUGUGAGUUCUCAUGAAGAAAGUGUCACAUGUCUACUCUAAUUGUUUAUUUGUGAUUGGUUGACAAACAUUGUUAUUAACUGAAGAUAAAAGGAAACCCCUUAGAUCUUCUUAGUCAUAAGCACUUAUCAAACAAAAAAUAAAAAGAAAAGAAAAAGGUAAAAGGCAAGAACUUGCAAACUUUCCCUAUGAUAUCUUCACCCAUUAUAAAUUAAAAUAAAAUUCAAACACAAUCUAUGGCCACUAACCUGUGAGGGAAAUGCACACUUG
rnacentral:misc_RNA from 1 species